rnacentral:rRNA from 1 species
AGCGAACGCUGGCGGCAGGCUUAACACAUGCAAGUCGAACGAGGUCCUUUCGCUUGUGCUGUUUACAGUACAUUGAAAGGAUUGCAGUGGCGGACGGGUGAGGAACACGUAAGAACUUACCUUUUGGAGGGGGAUAACAACGGGAAACUGUUGCUAAUACCCCAUAAUGCUGAGGAGCGAAAGGGAAACCACCAAAAGGGAGGCUUGCGUCUGAUUAGCUAGUUGGAGGAGGUAAAGGCUCCCCAAGGCGACGAUCAGUAGCUGGUCUGAGAGGAUGAUCAGCCACACUGGGACUGAGACACGGCCCAGACUCCUACGGGAGGCAGCAGUGGGGGAAUUUUCCACAAUGGGCGAAAGCCUGAUGGAGCAAUACCGCGUGGAGGAUGAAGGAUCGUGGUUCGUAAACUCCUUUUCUUAGAGAAGAAACAAUGACGGUAUCUAAGGAAUAAGCACCGGCUAACUUUGUG